AGGACCUACGGGGCGCAGCAGUGGGGGAUAUUGCACAAUGGGGGAAACCCUGAUGCAGCGACGCCGCGUGAGUGAAGAAGUAUUUCGGUACGUAAAGCUCUAUCAGCAGGGAAGAAUAAUGACGGUACCUGACUAAGAAGCCCCGGCUAACUACGUGCCAGCAGCCGCGGUAAUACGUAGGGGGCAAGCGUUAUCCGGAUUUACUGGGUGUAAAGGGAGCGUAGACGGCUGUGCAAGUCUGAAGUGAAAGCCCGGGGCUCAACCCCGGGACUGCUUUGGAAACUGUAUGGCUGGAGUGCUGGAGA
rnacentral:rRNA from 1 species